CGCACGAGCGCACCCUUGCCCUAUGUUGCCAGCGGGUUAUGCCGGGGACUCAUGGGGAACUGCCGGUGAUAAACCGGAGGAAGGUGGGGACGACGUCAAGUCAUCAUGGCCCUUACGCCCAGGGCUACACACGUGCUACAAUGGCCGGUACAAAGGGCUGCAAUCCCGCGAGGGGGAGCGAAUCCCAAAAAGCCGGUCUAAGUUCGGAUUGUAGUCCGCAACUCGACUGCAUGAAGUCGGAAUCGCUAGUAAUCGUGUAUCAGCAACGACACGGUGAAUACGUUCCCGGGCCUUGUACACACCGCCCGUCAAGCCAUGGAAGCCGGGAGUGCCCGAAGUCCGUGAUCCAACUUCGUGAGGAAGCGGCCGAAGGUAAGUUCGGUGACUGGGGCUAAAUCGUAACAAGGUAGCCGUAGGGGAACCUGCGGCUGGAUCA
rnacentral:rRNA from 1 species